rnacentral:tRNA from 1 species
GCGGGGGUAGCUCAGGGGUAGAGCUCCUGCCUUCCAAGCAGGUGGCCGCGCCCCAGAAAAACCGAAUAGCGAAUCCCGUCCCCCGCUCCA